CAUCUUUCAAACCUUUUGCAAACCUAUAUUUUCUGGAGAUAUGUUCCUUUUCUCUUAUGAUUGAAUAGGGUACCGAUGCUUAUCCCACCUUACUGGUGUGGUGUGACCUGCUCUUAUAUGAUUCCGGGGGACUGGUAUUUCUUUCCUUUUGGAUGGUGACCUGUAAGUACAUUGUGAAAGAAAAUGGUUCAAUACAUGCACUAAGUUUUUGCUCUUUCCACAUUUUUUUUUAAUGGAAAAAGGGAUAUUAUUAAGAUAAGGAAGAAACAAUAGGAAGAGAACAUCAGGUAAGUUAUCCAGCUGAAACAAAAGGAAAUCGAAACAAAAAGUGAAAAAAGAGAAAGCACCAAAGAGAAAACAAAUCACGUGAUUAUAGUAUCCCAGCUCCUAUAAAGGACAGGGAGGAUGUUAGAGUAUUUCCCAUGAGCCUUGGCCCAAAGGGAAGGCAGAAAGGUCAUCUUCUUCCUAGUGAGGUUGUCUUGCACAAAAAAUUGUCAAAUAUCUAUGGAUUUCUUUCUAUCCAAAUAGUCCAAAGACCAGCAAACAAUGCCCGUUGCCACAGUGGUGUGGCCUUUACCUUAACCCGAAGCAACUGAUAUUAGUGUUGAUGAAACAAUCUAAAGAAGUAACCAAUAUUGGGCUAAAAGUGUCAGAAAGUUUGACCCAUAAUUUUCACACCAUUUCACAAUUUAGAAAGAGAUUAGAAUGUGUUUUCCCCCGUCAUGGUACAUAAAACACAUGUUAGGAGACAAAGCUCAGUUAAGCCUGCAAAUUUGUACCAAAUCAUUGAUGUUAAGCUGGUUCAGAAUUGCAGUCCGCAUGAAAACUUUCACUUGGAAGGAACCUAGACUUGUCAGAAUCCCUUGGUAAAGGUACUUCGCAAAUAAUCACGGUUCUUUUUAUACAAUCGGCAAAUGAUUUCAGGUAUAUGUAUCCAAUGAGUUAAGGGUCCAUAUUCUACAAUCAGGCUGUUGUGAAGGUUGAAACUGUUGUAAUAAGCUUAACAUGGUAAGGAGUUCAAUGGUUUCUUUAUCGUUCGGGCUACUUUAAAAGUGAAAGUUCCAAGUCAGAGAACUUUUUUGAAAGACGAAAGAAUUGGUCAAUCGGGAUAUUGCGACGGGAAAGAUAUGUGAAAAAGAUGUGGAAAUUGGAUAUUCUAGAUUCGUUGCCCCUCCAAAGGUCCUCCCGAAAAAGGACAUUGGAACUGUUCCCCAUUUUAUAUGUGGUCAGAGGCUUAUAGAUGUUAAGCAAAUUUGGGAUGACUUUCCUUGAACUUUUAUGAUUGGUAGAUCUUGUUUUCACAGCAUCCUAACCAGUCCAUUAACUACAAUGAAUGAUGUUGAUUACUUUAUGCCACAAAGAAUUAGGUUCCUGCAAAAAACACUAUAACUACUUAACCAAUAAUGACAAGUUCCUAUAUUUAGAAUUCCCUAUGUCCAAUCCUCCAAAAGAACUAGUUUUUUGUUGGUCGAACCUAGGACUCCUUGGUGAUGCUAUGGAACUUCAAGAUUAAUUCCGAGCACCAGCAAAAUGGUGUACGUCCUUAUGUGGCACAUGACCUAAGUCAAGGUAACCCAUGGUUAUCGUGGGGCAUAAAUACCGAUUAGAUACAGAGUGCACAUACGCACAGAAUAUCAUUGAAUAAUUAGUUUUUAUGGAGGCAUUUAUAUGGUACACACAUAUAUUAGCCUUUAGAAAAGGAUUUUGCAGGGUUGAUGGUACUAUCAAAAAAAAAAAAUAUUAGCCUUUAGAAAGUUCUACUUACAAUAAUUUCCAGGUUAGUGGAAGUACUGAAGCAGUUGAUCUCUGCAAUGAGAAAGUUGCUGAAGUAACAUGUGCAAUGAUAAAAUAUAGUUCUCAAAUUGGGCUAUAACAAGGAAAACUUGUAUAGAGUGACAGAAAAAAUUUAUAGCUUAAGGGUAUGGCUGGGUCUUUUUUGUUUGGAAAAAAGAGUAUUAUAAAGAAGAUAUCAAGGGGUUCUUCCAUGUACAAAGGCAAUGUGAAUUGUCUAAAUUAAAAUUCAGAAGGUCUACUAGGCCUAGGAAGCCCUCAUCUCCGGAGAGGUAGUGACCAGACACCUAAAAGAAUAAAUUUCUCAGUAAAAAAUCUGGAACUUCUUUGGAAGGAGGAACCUCUCUGCUUCAAAGGCUUUCAUGUUUCUACUCUGCAAAGAAUCAAGAAAAUAGAAAGUUGAUUAAGAGCCAAAAUCUUCCUCUGCUGUUCGGAGACAGCUUUGGCUUACCAAGCCCAAAUCUUUAUCUGAAAGGAGGCAAACAACACCCUGAACAACCCCAAAAACUUGAUUGCUACUUCCCACAGCCUUCUUGACCAAGCAUGCCAAGGUUGAGGUGGCAGGGAGACUCUGCUGCGUAUUUGCAGCACUAGCAUGCAUAGGCCAAAAAGAUCCACUUUUAUAUUGUUAUCAAUGGUUAGAAUAUGCUGCCAUGUGGCUUUCCACUCAAAACAGCCACUUCAGAAGGUGUGUGAGUCUCUAGGAUAGCUUUCCAAAGGAUGUUAUCGACGCUGACAGCCCUGAACUUCUUCAUGCUCCUUGUACCAGCUUCCGACCUCAUAGACUCCUUUCUUGGACAUUUUCCAAACAGCUUGUCUAUGAUGUCAGGCCUGAUGGCAACCCAUGAAGAGAAGUAAAAAGCCAGCAUUAUUGCCUCAUAUCCAUCUCUCAACUGUUGAUGCUGCAACCGAAUGUACGUACCAAAAGAUUAAACAAAAAUUGGUACCAGAUGCUCAAAGCUUCAUUGCCACACAUUUAUCCUGCCAGAAUUUCUAGGUCUUGAGAGAGGUAGGGAGGAAAGGUCUAGACCUACUGUUUGUAUUCUAGAGAUGAAUCAUGCUUGAGAUCAAUGUUAAUGGGGCUUUCUUUAAGCUUGUUCUGGUUCCAAAUGAUUAAGCGAUGUUUAUGUGUCAGUGUGAUGUAGAUUUUAAAUCUGUUGUCACAUAUUUUAAUCUGGCUAAUAUAUAUAUAUAUAUGUCUGCAGCACCAGCAUCCGUCACAGCAGCACAAUCACCGGCAAGAACCACAUCCCCCCCAUCAUCAGCAGCAACAACAAGAAUCACAUCCCCUCCAUCAUCAUCAGCAGCAACAACAGCUUCCGUUUCAGCAACAGCAACAACAGUAUACUCCAUGGUAUCCCCAGGAACAGCAAAAUCAACAGCGAAAACAUCAAUCGCGGCAGCUUAAGCAAAUGCCAUCACAACAGGUGAGAAGUAGCCCUAGAAGUGAGGACGAAAAAGAGGGGAUUGAGGAAGAGAGGCCUAAUUUGAAUAAUGCUACCCAGCCCGUUUGGCAAACUCAGUCAGCUGAGCCAACUCGUCAAACCCGGGCAACUCCGCCAACUCGUGAAACACAGCCUGCACCGGGAACUCCUGGAAAACGGCCUGCUGCACCUACUCAAGAAACAAAAUGUCCCGGGCCAACUCUGGAUACAUGGCCUUCUGGCUCAACCCCUGAAACCCGGGCUGGUGCGCCAACUCCUGAAACACGGCCUGCCGUGCCAACUCAAACGAGCCAGGAUCAGUUGUUGAGUGGAUCGAGGGUAGCAGGUUUUUGGACUGCUUGUCCAUAUUGUUUCACGCUGUAUGAAUACCCGAAGAUGUACGAGGAAUGCACGCUUCGGUGUCAGAAUUGCAAGAGAGCAUUCCAUGCGGCGGUGAUAGCGCCUCCACCGUUGGCAGGCAAUGAUACUUACUUUUGCUGUUGGGGAUUUUUCCCUUUGGGGUUUAACAGUAAAUCUGCCAGUGGGUUGCCUUCUAAUUGGUCACCGAUAACGCCGAUGUUUCCUUGUCCUGGACAAAAUGUUUGGCAGGGUCAAAACCAGAAUAACGGGAGAGCGAAUUCUGGCAUUGUACUGGAAAAACCGGCUCCUCCGAGAGAUUACUAUGAUGAUGAUGAUGUGUGUGUAGGUAUUUCAGACCCCAGUGAAGAUGACAAAGACGAUGAUGAAUGGGAGGACGAAAAGAGGAAGAAGAAGGCCAAACACAGUAAAGCAAGAGCAUCAACUGUAAAAAAUGCCAAGAAACUGCAAGUGGAGAGAGCUAGGAGAGUGAAUCAAAUUGUGGAUACCAUUGAGAAGGCAGGUGGUGCAUCUAAGGUGCAAGAUGGUACAGUGGCGAGUACAUCGAGUGGAGCAGCGAGGGUGGCAGGAAAUAGCGGGAGGAAGCAAAUGAGAGUUGG
rnacentral:lncRNA from 1 species